UUAAAAAACUGGAAAACAUUAGACUCGCCUACACCCGACAGUGAAACAGUGCAAAGAAAACGCCAAAUACUCCCGCUACUAGAACAACAUACAAUACCGUUGACCGUUUAGUACACCUACAACAGAUUCCACAAAUGUUUGAACGAAAAGGACAACACGACAGGCUAAAAGUAUUAGGACAAGAGCGAACAAUUCUUUAUCCCUGAAGAAGGUCCCAAACCAGGACCGAAACGUCGGAGCGAGAACAUUGUAGUUCGCUUAAUUCUUUAAUAAGACUGCCGAGCCAUUACAAUUGAAGGUCUCAUAAUUUCUUUUUUCGAGAAUGUUUUCUUGAGCCCACUCAUCAUCUGUAAAUUAUAUCCAAUUAUCCAAUAUCUGCCUAAAAUCAUAAAAGAACAGCAAUCAAUGAAACCAUAUAGAGAUAAGUGACAUUUCAACACACGAACACUAGCGUGAAUUUUUCCAUACACAAAAAUGCACGCUAAUUCAAAGGCUAUUCAGAUUGCAUAUGCAAAUAUUACCCAAUCGAUUUGGGUAAAAUGGCUAAAUAAUGAUAAAACUAACAACCGGGGCAAGAGUGCACAUAUUUUCCCCCAAGUUUCACAACUACAUCUACAAAAGAUUCACGCACACAUUUGAACGUGAUUACCACUAUACGAAUCAAGAUGCAAGAAAUUUAGAAACAUACCGGUGAAAAUUUUUGACACGUGA